GUUGGUUACCGAAUGUUGUUCGGAGUCCCAGAUGAGGUCACGAGGGUUUCCGUAAUGGUCCGGAGAUGAAGAUUGAUAUAUAGGAUGACCUCAUUUGAUUACCGGAAGGUUUUCGAAAUUACCGGGAAUGUACCGGGAAUGACGAAAGGGUUCCGGAUGUUCACCGGGGGGCAGCCCACCCCGGGGAAGCCCAUAGGCCAAAAGGUGCCGCACCAGCCCUUAGUGGGCUGGUGGGAAAGCCCAAGAAGGCCCCUGCGCAGG
rnacentral:lncRNA from 1 species